GUUUCCCUGCCUGGUUUGCUAAGGUCAUAGAUUCCUUGAACCAAUGCCUAAUCAGCAAGGUCGUGGGAAUUUGUAGCGCGGGCGUGAGCGUCACUCUGUCUGACGAACCCGAAGCGCUUCUAACUGCGACCGUCUUGAACUCCGGUUCAGGAUGCCGGCCUGGCGGCUAAGGCGGGGAUCAU
rnacentral:other from 1 species